rnacentral:rRNA from 1 species
GGUCGCACGGCGGUCAACAUCAACGGCGAGAUUGGUCCUUUCUUCCCUACCCUUUGUGGGGUUCGCCAAGGCGACCCCUUCUCCCCGUUCCUCUUCAAUAUGGUUGUGGACGCUCUGGCCUCCAUCCUUGAUAAGGCCAAAGCCGCUGGCCACAUCCGUGGGAUUACCCCACACCUUUCUGGGGGCUCGGGGAUCUCCAUCCUUCAGUAUGCUGACGACACGAUCAUCAUGGUCGAAGGCUCGGAGGGGGACAUCGCCAACCUCAAGUUCCUCCUGCUCUGCUUUCAACAGAUGUCGGGCCUCAAGAUCAACUUUGAUAAGAGUGAUGUCAUGGUGAUGGGAUAUUCCCCCUCUGAGUUUAUAGCCAUCGCCAACAGACUUAAUUGCCGCCUGGGCUCUUUCCCCACCUCCUACCUGGGGACCCCCAUUAGCGACUCGCGUCUCUCUGCCGCGGACCUGAGGCCC